GACGUAGGGCGCGAGCGUUGUCCGGAUUUAUUGGGCGUAAAGAGCUCGUAGGCGGCUCGUUGCGUCGGCUGUGAAAACCCGCAGCUCAACUGUGGGCUUGCAGCUGAUACGGGCGGGCUGGGAUUCGGUAGGGGAGACUGGAAUUCCUGGUGUAGCGGUGAAAUGCGCAGAUAUCGGGAGGAACACCAGUGGCGAAGGCGGCUCUCUGGGGUAUUUCUGACGCUGAGGAGCGAAAGUGUGGGAGCGAACAGG
rnacentral:rRNA from 1 species